GUCGAGCGGAAACGAGUUAUCUGAACCUUCGGGGAACGAUAACGGCGUCGAGCGGCGGACGGGUGAGUAAUGCCUAGGAAAUUGCCCUGAUGUGGGGGAUAACCAUUGGAAACGAUGGCUAAUACCGCAUGAUGCCUACGGGCCAAAGAGGGGGACCUUCGGGCCUCUCGCGUCAGGAUAUGCCUAGGUGGGAUUAGCUAGUUGGUGAGGUAAGGGCUCACCAAGGCGACGAUCCCUAGCUGGUCUGAGAGGAUGAUCAGCCACACUGGAACUGAGACACGGUCCAGACUCCUACGGGAGGCAGCAGUGGGGAAUAUUGCACAAUGGGCGCAAGCCUGAUGCAGCCAUGCCGCGUGUGUGAAGAAGGCCUUCGGGUUGUAAAGCACUUUCAGUCGUGAGGAAGGUAGUGUAGUUAAUAGCUGCAUUAUUUGACGUUAGCGACAGAAGAAGCACCGGCUAACUCCGUGCCAGCAGCCGCGGUAAUACGGAGGGUGCGAGCGUUAAUCGGAAUUACUGGGCGUAAAGCGCAUGCAGGUGGUUUGUUAAGUCAGAUGUGAAAGCCCGGGGCUCAACCUCGGAAUUGCAUUUGAAACUGGCAGACUAGAGUACUGUAGAGGGGGGUAGAAUUUCAGGUGUAGCGGUGAAAUGCGUAGAGAUCUGAAGGAAUACCGGUGGCGAAGGCGGCCCCCUGGACAGAUACUGACACUCAGAUGCGAAAGCGUGGGGAGCAAACAGGAUUAGAUACCCUGGUAGUCCACGCCGUAAACGAUGUCUACUUGGAGGUUGUGGCCUUGAGCCGUGGCUUUCGGAGCUAACGCGUUAAGUAGACCGCCUGGGGAGUACGGUCGCAAGAUUAAAACUCAAAUGAAUUGACGGGGGCCCGCACAAGCGGUGGAGCAUGUGGUUUAAUUCGAUGCAACGCGAAGAACCUUACCUACUCUUGACAUCCAGAGAACUUUCCAGAGAUGGAUUGGUGCCUUCGGGAACUCUGAGACAGGUGCUGCAUGGCUGUCGUCAGCUCGUGUUGUGAAAUGUUGGGUUAAGUCCCGCAACGAGCGCAACCCUUAUCCUUGUUUGCCAGCGAGUAAUGUCGGGAACUCCAGGGAGACUGCCGGUGAUAAACCGGAGGAAGGUGGGGACGACGUCAAGUCAUCAUGGCCCUUACGAGUAGGGCUACACACGUGCUACAAUGGCGCAUACAGAGGGCAGCCAACUUGCGAAAGUGAGCGAAUCCCAAAAAGUGCGUCGUAGUCCGGAUUGGAGUCUGCAACUCGACUCCAUGAAGUCGGAAUCGCUAGUAAUCGUGGAUCAGAAUGCCACGGUGAAUACGUUCCCGGGCCUUGUACACACCGCCCGUCACACCAUGGGAGUGGGCUGCAAAAGAAGUAGGUAGUUUAACCUUCGGGGGGACGCU
rnacentral:rRNA from 1 species